rnacentral:rRNA from 1 species
AGUUGGUGGAGUGAUUUGUCUGGUUAAUUCCGUUAACGAACGAGACCUCAGCCUGCUAACUAGUAGUGCCUAUCCUUUGUCCGUUUCUCUGGUCUUCUUGGUUCCGUUUCGCUUCUGCGGUUCGGUCCUCGAUGUGCUUUGAGUAGGGCAUUCCGGGAUAGGAUAUGCUGUUGACCUCGGUUAAUGGCAGUUCGACUUCUUAGAGGGACUAUCUGUGUGUAGCAGAUGGAAGUUUGAGGCAAUAACAGG